rnacentral:rRNA from 1 species
AUACGUAGGUGGCGAGCGUUGUCCGGAAUUACUGGGCGUAAAGGAUGCGUAGGUGGAUACUUAAGUGGGAUGUGAAAUCCCCGGGCUCAACCCGGGAACUGCAUUCCAAACUGGGUAUCUAGAGUGCAGGAGAGGAAAGCGGAAUUCCUAGUGUAGCGGUGAAAUGCGUAGAUAUUAGGAGGAACACCAGUGGCGAAGGCGGCUUUCUGGACUGUAACUGACACUGAGGCAUGAAAGCGUGGGUAGCAAACAGGAUUAGAUACCCUGGUAGUCCACGCCGUAAACGAUGGGUACUAGGUGUAGGAGGUAUCGACCCCUUCUGUGCCGCAGUAAACACAGUAAGCAUUCCGCCUGGGGAGUACGGUCGCAAGAUUAAAACUCAAAUGAAUUGACGGGG